UACGGGGGGGGCAAGCGUUGUUCGGAAUUACUGGGCGUAAAGGGCUCGUAGGCGGCCAACUAAGUCAGACGUGAAAUCCCUCGGCUUAACCGGGGAACUGCGUCUGAUACUGGAUGGCUUGAGUGUGGGAGAGGGAUGCGGAAUUCCAGGUGUAGCGGUGAAAUGCGUAGAUAUCUGGAGGAACACCGGUGGCGAAGGCGGCAUCCUGGACCAUUACUGACGCUGAGGCGCGAAAGCUAGGGGAGCAAACGGG
rnacentral:rRNA from 1 species